CGUGGAGGGUCAUGAGCGGUCAGCCUCCACUCCAAACCCUGCUUUGUCUCCAGCAUUUAUAAUGGUGUUAAAUAUAUAAACAAGUGUUUUUAAUUUAUAAGGGGGUGACACUCAGAGGCUUACUGUGUGAAAGGUGUCACCAGUACGAUAGAUUGAGAACCACUGAUCUAUGGGGUUACAGUGGACGAGAAGCUGGAUAUGAGUCACCA